rnacentral:rRNA from 1 species
AUUGAACGCUGGCGGCAGGCCUAACACAUGCAAGUCGAACGAGUGGCGGACGGGUGAGUAAUGUCUGGGAAACUGCCCGAUGGAGGGGGAUAACUACUGGAAACGGUAGCUAAUACCGCAUACCAUCAGAUGUGCCCAGAUGGGAUUAGCUAGUAGGUGGGGUAACGGCUCACCUAGGCGACGAUCCCUAGCUGGUCUGAGAGGAUGACCAGCAACACUGGAACGGAGACACGGUCCAGACUCCUACGUGAGGCAGCAGUGGGGAAUAUUGCACAAUGGGCGCAAGCCUGAUGCAGCCAUGCCGCGUGUGUGAAGAAGGCCUUCGGGUUGUAAAGCACGUUCAGCGAGGAGGCGUUACUCGCAGAAGAAGCACCGGCUAACGCCGUGCCAGCAGCCGCGGUAAUAC